GCAGCGAUGCCGCGUGAGUGAAGAAGGCCCUUGGGUUGUAAAGCUCUUUCGUCGGGGAAGAAAAUGACUGUACCCGAAUAAGAAGGUCCGGCUAACUUCGUGCCAGCAGCCGCGGUAAUACGAAGGGACCUAGCGUAGUUCGGAAUUACUGGGCUUAAAGAGUUCGUAGGUGGUUGAAAUAGUUGGUGGUGAAAUCCCAGAGCUUAACUCUGGAACUGCCAUCAAAACUUUUCAGCUAGAGUAUGAUAGAGGAAAGCAGAAUUUCUAGUGUAGAGGUGAAAUUCGUAGAUAUUAGAAAGAAUACCAAUUGCGAAGGCAGCUUUCUGGAUCAUUACUGACACUGAGGAACGAAAGCAUGGGUAGCGAAGAGGAUUAGAUACCCUCGUAGUCCAUGCCGUAAACGAUGUGUGUUAGACGUUGGAAAUUUAUUUUCAGUGUCGCAGGGAAACCGAUAAACACACCGCCUGGGGAGUACGACCGCAAGGUUAAAACUCAAAUGAAUUGACGGGGACCCGCACAAGUAGUGGAGCAUGUGGUUUAAUUCGAAGAUACGCGCAGAACCUUACCAACACUUGACAUGUUCGUCGCGACUCUAAGAGAUUAGAGUUUUCGGUUCGGCCGGACGA
rnacentral:rRNA from 1 species